AGUCGAGGGGCAUCAGUUUGGUUUGCUUGCAAACCAAAGCUGGCGACCGGCGCACGGGUGAGUAACACGUAUCCAACCUGCCUCAUACUCGGGGAUAGCCUUUCGAAAGAAAGAUUAAUAUCCGAUAGCAUAUAUUUCCCGCAUGGGUUUUAUAUUAAAGAAAUUCGGUAUGAGAUGGGGAUGCGUUCCAUUAGUUUGUUGGGGGGGUAACGGCCCACCAAGACUACGAUGGAUAGGGGUUCUGAGAGGAAGGUCCCCCACAUUGGAACUGAGACACGGUCCAAACUCCUACGGGAGGCAGCAGUGAGGAAUAUUGGUCAAUGGACGCGAGUCUGAACCAGCCAAGUAGCGUGAAGGAUGACUGCCCUAUGGGUUGUAAACUUCUUUUAUAUGGGAAUAAAGUUGUCCACGUGUGGAUUUUUGUAUGUACCAUAUGAAUAAGGAUCGGCUAACUCCGUGCCAGCAGCCGCGGUAAUACGGAGGAUCCGAGCGUUAUCCGGAUUUAUUGGGUUUAAAGGGAGCGUAGGCGGAUUGUUAAGUCAGUUGUGAAAGUUUGCGGCUCAACCGUAAAAUUGCAGUUGAUACUGGCAGUCUUGAGUGCAGUAGAGGUGGGCGGAAUUCGUGGUGUAGCGGUGAAAUGCUUAGAUAUCACGAAGAACUCCGAUUGCGAAGGCAGCUCACUGGAGUGUAACUGACGCUGAUGCUCGAAAGUGUGGGUAUCAAACAGGAUUAGAUACCCUGGUAGUCCACACAGUAAACGAUGAAUACUCGCUGUUUGCGAUAUACAGUAAGCGGCCAAGCGAAAGCAUUAAGUAUUCCACCUGGGGAGUACGCCGGCAACGGUGAAACUCAAAGGAAUUGACGGGGGCCCGCACAAGCGGAGGAACAUGUGGUUUAAUUCGAUGAUACGCGAGGAACCUUACCCGGGCUUAAAUUGCAAUGAAUUAUGGGGAAACCCAUACGCCGCAAGGCAUUU
rnacentral:rRNA from 1 species